CACGUAGGGGGCAAGCGUUGUCCGGAUUUAUUGGGCGUAAAGAGCUCGUAGGCGGUUCGGUAAGUCGGGUGUGAAACCUCCAGGCUCAACCUGGAGACGCCACCCGAUACUGCUGUGACUAGAGUCCGGUAGGGGAGCGUGGAAUUCCUGGUGUAGCGGUGAAAUGCGCAGAUAUCAGGAGGAACACCAGCGGCGAAGGCGGCGCUCUGGGCCGGAACUGACGCUGAGGAGCGAAAGCGUGGGUAGCGAACAGG
rnacentral:rRNA from 1 species